rnacentral:snRNA from 1 species
AUAUAAAUUUUCAGGGUCCUUUU